GCUGGUUUAACAACAUGUACAGAACUGUUACUGUUUAUGUCACACAUAUUUUUCAAUUUCAAGUCUAUUAAAAUUUCAAUCUUUUCUAAUAGAUCAUUAUUAAAAGACCUAACUAAAUCUAGUUUAGUGUCCAUUUCAUCUACCUUAGUUGUUAUAGAUAGAAAUUCGUCAAAAUUGAGCUUUCUCAAUGAAGUUAACCUAUUAUCACAGACUCCACAGUGCCACUUCACUAUGUCCCCGAGUGAUUGGAUUUUACAUAAUCAUCAUUAGAAACUUUCACACACUCUGCAUGAAACCAUUUUUCGCAAAAUAAAUCACAAAAAAUGACUAGUACUAGUCUAGACUAAUAACUAGUACUCAACUUACAUAACUUAUUAUAACAGUCAUGUAAGCUCAAUUUCCACAAUCACUAUAGAAGUUUCUCAUUAUCCAGUAACAUUCCAAAACCCCCUUAUAGUCAUAUUGUUCAGAUUGGAGAUCCGAUUUUGAGAAGUAAAGCAAGGAAUGUUGAUCCAAAGGAAUUCGGAACAAGAUCCUUCAACAUUGUGCUCAACACCCUCCAUAGAGUGUUCCGGAAAUAUGAGUCUCGUGUCAUUGGUUUAUCAGCACCUCAAAUCGGUAUUAAUCUACGAGUAUUUAUACUGAGCUUGAAGGCUAAAGAUAUUGAAUCAUCAUCGAACCACGUCCAAAAAAAUGUUCAAGAGAUCCCUUAUCAGGUGUGGAUAAAUCCAGAAAUGAAGGUUCUUGAUUAUAAGACUGUUAUUCAUUCAGAAGGCUGUGCUAGCUUCCUAGGCUUCAGUGCAGAUGUUCCCAGAUAUAAGAAAGUCCUAUUAACAGGUUUGGACGAGGAGGGAAAUAGGAAAGAGUGGGAGGCGUGCGACUGGUCUGCUCGCCUGGUUCAGCACGAGAUGGAUCACCUCGAUGGCAUCCUUUUCACUGACAAGAUGCACGUUCGCUCGCUCCAGUGCUGUGGCUGGUCGGACAUCAACCAGACGAACGGAAACAUUUUCAUCACUUAUUCGACAACUAACUGGUGGUUCAAUCUCUUACAUCCUAGAAGAAUAAAAUAGUUCAGUAUUAGAUCAGCAUUCUUGUGAAUAGAAACCCAACUUUCUUCUUAGAUGGAUUUAUUUAUUUGUAAAUAAAUAGUUUUAUUAAUACUUAA